rnacentral:misc_RNA from 1 species
UUUCCGUAGGUGAACCUGCGGAAGGAUCAUUAACAAAUUCCAAAACACGUGUUUGGUAUUUGGUCGUAUGACUUUGUAAGGCAAGCGUCAUUAUCAUUCAUUGAUGAUGAGCUCGUUUUAUGAUCUUAUAUACCUUUUACCAGUCAUAUAACACAAAACACUUACAUUUAAAAUAUACAAUUUGACAACAAAUGGAACGAGAAUUGAAAUCGUUAAAAAUUAAAUAAUUUUAAUAACAACUUUUAACAAUGGAUCUCUCGGCUCUU